CUUGCUCAAAUGUCACAGCUGCCAUGGUGACUGUGAGUUAAUUUAGCAGGUUACCUACAGAACCAGCUUCAUCCCAUCACAUCAGCCCAUCUCACUCAUUCAGGCAGGGAAGGCAUGCUACAGACCCCAUCAAUUGGAGAAUUCCAACUGGUGGGGGUCAAGGAAGAGGACCUUUUCUGCUAAUGCCCCCUGCUUCGUGGAAGAUCUUGCUCCCAGAGGACUGCUGGAUUUCUCUCUUUUCACCACCUGUUUUCUACCAGACCACAGCAAAAUAUCAAAAAAUGUCUGAACUACAAAUGUUGCCA